rnacentral:rRNA from 1 species
UACAGAGGGUGCAAGCGUUGUUCGGAAUUAUUGGGCGUAAAGCGCGUGUAGGCGGCUUUGCAAGUCGGGUGUGAAAUCCCUCAGCUUAACUGAGGAAGUGCGCCCGAAACUGCUUUGCUUGAGUGCCGGAGAGGAUGGCGGAAUUCCCCAAGUAGAGGUGAAAUUCGUAGAUAUGGGGAGGAACACCGGUGGCGAAGGCGGCCAUCUGGACGGUAACUGACGCUGAGACGCGAAAGCGUGGGGAGUAAACAGG